rnacentral:rRNA from 1 species
CCUACGGGUGGCAGCAGUGGGGAAUAUUGCACAAUGGGGGAAACCCUGAUGCAGCGACGCCGCGUGAGUGAAGAAGUAUUUCGGUAGGUAAAGCUCUAUCAGCAGGAACGAGACAAGACGGGACCGGACGAAGAAGCCCCGGCUAACUACGUGCCAGCAGCCGCGGUAAUACGUAGGGGGCAAGCGUUAGCCGGAAUCACUGGGUUUAAAGGGAGCGUAGACGGCUGAGCAAGCCUGAAGUGAAAGGCGGGGGCCCAACCCCCGGACUGCUUUGGGAACUGUCCGGCUUGCGUGCAGGAGCGGUAAGUGGCUUUCCUCUUGUAGCGGUGACUUGCGUAGCUAUUAGGCG